rnacentral:tRNA from 3 species
GGGUGGGUAGUGUAACCGAACAACACGGCAGCGUCCGAAGCUGCAAAUCCGGGUUUGACUCCCGGCCCGCCCACCA